rnacentral:rRNA from 1 species
GACGAACGCUGGCGGCGUGCUUAACACAUGCAAGUCGAACGGAAAGGCCCUGCUUUUGUGGGGUGCUCGAGUGGCGAACGGGUGAGUAACACGUGAGUAACCUGCCCUUGACUUUGGGAUAACUUCAGGAAACUGGGGCUAAUACCGGAUAGGAGCUCCUGCUGCAUGGUGGGGGUUGGAAAGUUUCGGCGGUGGGGGAUGGACUCGCGGCUUAUCAUCUUGUUGGUGGGGUAGUGGCUUACCAAGGCUUUGCCGGGUAGCCGGCCUGAGAGGGGGACCGGGCACAUUGGGACUGAGAUACGGCCCAGACUCCUACGGGAGGCAGCAGUGGGGAAUAUUGCACAAUGGGCGGAAGCCUGAUGCAGCAACGCCGCGUGCGGGAUGACGGCCUUCGGGUUGUAAACCGCUUUCGCCUGUGACGAAGCGUGAGUGACGGUAAUGGGUAAAGAAGCACCGGCUAACUACGUG